GCUGCGGCUGCGGCUGCUGCUGCGACUGCUGCUGCUGCUAAGGUGGGCAAAGUGGCAACGCUGCUCUGGGACGUCCCUGUGAGCCGCGUCCAAAAAGCCCGCGAGCCCGGGGCGACGGCAGGUCGCGCCCCGGACACUCGUGUCCUGGAGCCGGUCUCACCGGUGGGUUGAGGGACUCUCUAGUGCCACUCUGGUUCACGUUUUCCUUUUCUGCAGAGUCGCCCCCAGCUCGCCACCAGGACAGUCAGAUGAUGCUAUCUACUAUUGGUUAUUUUACAGCACCUCCAUUUUCAUAGAGCAUCUUCCUGAGACUAAACUUGGAAAGCACCGUAACCACAAAACAUUAUGCAGAGUUCAAAGGGAUGCUGCAUACAGAAUAAGCAAUUUGGGGAGAUUAAAAUUCAGGAGUUCAGUUCCAGCCUGGCAAACAAGACGAGGGGACUUUCCACCCUGCACCAGUGUUCGAAUUUCUGAUUGAGUUACAAGAUUUUUCUUCUUUUGACCUCAGAAGGCACUUGGAAACGUUGGGGGAAAUUUCACCACAUCCUUUAAGUUUUGCUCUGAUUAGCAGGAGAGAUACAUUAGAACUUAGAGAAGUAUCUCAGCCUCCAGUAUGAGUAACCUUGCCAUAAACCCACCCUAAGGUUUCCUGUGCAGGCUUUGGGGGUCACACUUCAUUGUCAGUGUGAUUCAUGUCCACAGUGUUACCAUCACAGCUAGCCAUAUUUUUAGUGGAUAGUCUUGAACUUUUUGCUGAGGGUGUGUGGGGGUUGGGGGGGAGCUAGUUGGUUGGUUGGGUUUUUUGUUUUGUUUUGUUGCAGAGAGUUUUUCAUAUUUUUCUGUUAGGAAAUUCUACAUUACCAUUAAGAAAUGUUUUCUUAGCGUAGCGUUGCAGAGCAGCUGCUUCUCAGCAAUGCCAGCUUCGCUGGCAGUUUUGGUAUUUGUAUUGUGUGUCUUGAUCUUUGCACACGAACCAUGCCAUUAUUAGUUUCUACUAGAGAUAGUUCUGUGUGUGGUAUGUGUGCCUGCUCAUGUGUGCAUAUCUGCACAUAUGUGCACAUGGGUGUAGAGGACAGCAAUUGACUUUGGACAUUGUCAUUCAUCAGUUUUCCAGCUCAUGUUUUAGAACAAAGCCUCUCCCUGACCCUGUAAUUCAUCAGUUCCGAUAGGCUGGCUGGCCAGGGAGUUCAGGGAUCUGCCCGUCUCUGCCCUCUCAGUCCUGGCCUGUUGUCAUCAGAGAGCACUGUAGGCUGAGUCCUCUAACACCCUGCUGGAAACAGUUUAUCCAGAGCUCUUAGUUGGAUCUUUCAUCUUCGUCAUCUACUUUAUCUUCUUCAGAAGUAUCAUUUCCUGACCUUUGUUACCUCACAAGCUUUUGUAGCUGUAUUUCUUGUCUUCUUCAUGGUUUUUUUCAGUCCUAUUCUUCCUUUUUGUCAUCCGAGCAGGGGCUCCCUUAAACCACUGUCUUUUUCAGAAGCGGCUCCUCCAUGAUCCCCAUGGGCCUAUCCUCUUGAGAACGCAUUUUCUUAAGGCAAACUACAGUUCCUGUCACUCAGGGAGCUUCCAGCUGCAAGCGCUGCCCAUCAUUCUACUCCACUGUCUGUCAGAUUCUAUUUUCCUCCGGUUGUUUCUCUAGUAAGCCUAAGGGCUUACCAUGUAGGACCCAGAUCCUCCUUCCUGAUGAAAAGUCUAUAUUGGUGAUCAUUUACAUCUCACUCUAUAGUUUAUGAACAUGUACUCCCAGGCACAAUUUGGAAUCAAAAUAUUCCAAAGUUAAUCACCCAUGUGUUUUUCUCUGCCUAGAAGCCUUUUGAUUUCCUAUUGAUCUAGCUCAGUUACCACUGCCAAGAUGGGAAAUCCUUGACCGCUCAAAGCUGGACCCAGAGUUCCAAAUGCCCAAACAGUAGCCAUAACUUAAGAGUCUAAUGGGACUCUUGUUGUCCCUGGCAGAAGUGCAUCCCAUUUGGAAGCCAGGACCUUCAUACCUCCAAAGUGUAGAGUUGUGGGAACAGGAAAUAGUGUCCUCUAACAAGUCAGUAGAACCGAUGUUCAGUGGGGUCACUUCUGAUUCCUCUGCUUGGUUCUUGGAACUAUGUGUUGUUCUUCUUAGUAGGGGCAAUGCCUUUAGAGGUCUCCGAGUUAGUGAAUGUACUGUUCUGGAAGGAUGGCACUUAAUCCUUAUGGAAUCCUGCUUUUGAACUGGCACUUCAGCUAAACCAUUAUUGCAUUGAAAACAAAUGUUAGGAUUAAGAUGAAUUUUAGUGUUAAAUGCAAGGUCAGGAACACUGAGGAAGGUAAAUAAGAGGGCUUGUAGCUGGGUAUGAAAUAGCCAAGCUGACCAGAUAAGAGAACUUUGGGAAAAGCAAAACCUGUCUCUAGAUGUUUCAGCUGGCCCCAGAAGCCCCACCCUCCACCCUUGCAGGAACAUGUGCAAGACAUCGUUGCCCUUUCCUUAGCAAACAGCCAAAACUUACAGGGAGUUACACCUUCACAGAUAGUCGUGCAUCUAAUUGUAACAGACUGAAUUGUGGGUAAUGGCUUCUAAGAAAGCUUCCACCUAUUUGAGGAAGGAAGGAGACCUUCCCAGACUACCCAGGAAUAGACAAGGGAAGGAAAGCUGGCAGACGAAGGCCAGAUGGCACUGCCACACAGCUCAGCCCGCCCUCCGCUCUGUGCCUUCUCACCUGCUGAAGUAGCCUUGACCACUUGUUAGCUCCGCCUGGGCCCCCAUGUGAGCCUCUUCCCUUGAGCACAAGAACUGAGCCUGCUGCUGCACUUGAAAUUGGAGAGAGUGUGGGAGGAGACGUCUCUCCUCAUCCCUAACACCUUCAGUAGGUUGCCUGGUGUUCUAUCAGGCUGGAUGACCCUACUGAUCCCCCAGUCAGGAGUUCGCAUAUUAUCUUUUUCCUGGGAAGUGUGUCCCCUGUUUGGAUGCGCCAUUGAAUGGGAGCCCAUGCCUGUGGAUCAGGCCUCCUUUAAGGCCCUAGGUGUUAAUUGUAGAGGCUAAGGCCCUGCAAGGCAAGACAGCAAAUCCACACCCAGAAUUAGUUUAUCCCUGUCAAAAUGGACCGCUAGCCACUCCCCAAUGGGAAGAGUCCAUGUUAUUGACCUGCUAGCAGGUUUCCCGUUUUGUCAACUAAUAAUGCCAUAUUGGGCACACAAUGGAGGUCCUGUUACUAGUACGUUCUUCAGAAACAGAUGAAGGGAUGCGUUGGCUUUUGUAACUGGGAAUUUAUGUUGUGGCUCGUGUGUAGCUCACAUGACUGCAUACAUAUCAUUAUAGUGACAGUUCUAGAGUAGGCCAUGACAAAAGCUUGCUUAACACCAACUGAUAGAAUCCUCUGUUUGAUUUUCUUCUGUUCCUCUUUCACGAUGGAUGUUCUAGUCAGAAUGAGCAUGUCAUUAGCCACUAAGCAAGACAGGCCCCUUUAUGUUAAUGCAUUUUUGGGGUAUCCUUUCCUUACUUGCAGCUAAAAGUUUUGGUGUAAGCAGAGCAUUCCUUGAGGCAUGUCAGUUGAUUAGUUUGAGCUCAGCAUGCUCCAGAAUGUGUCUAUUAUAUCUUCUUUUGAAAUUAUGACCUUUAACUGAGCUUACUCGGGAAUGUACUCCUUUUUUUUUCUUAAUAAUACAAAAAUAAUAUUGCUAUGUAAGAAAAUUUGGCCAGCAAGGAGAUGAUGUUUAUAAAAAGAAGGGAAAGUGCCUGAAAAUUAAACAGGCCUCCUGAGUUUUGCUGGAGGACUGACUGAGAAGGUUGCCGUCAGCACAGGAGGCAUGUAAACUGUUGCUGGGUAUCCUAGCCUUGGCCUCAUGUAAGAUCAAGCAAUUAGGCUCCUGAAAAUGGCAAUAAAUUUGGAAUCGUGUGAGUGGUAAAGUUGCAGGCACGCCCUGUUGUAUUAUAACAAAAUAACAACCCUGCCCGAAUCCCUUUUGUCUUGACCCAACUUCAGUCUUCAGCCUCUGUCACAUCCAGUGUUUAAGGUCCAAAUCGAGAGGAGGGCGUGUCGAGGCUCUCUUGGAGGAAGCACCCAUGGAAUCGAAAGGAUUGGAGGAAGAAAGGGGAGGGAUAGCGGCACUGGCACCGGAACUGCUUCGCGUUGGAUAAAUCGGAGGAGGAGGAGUCUCGGCAUGGGCGAUUACUGGUCUUGAGUAUGGGACUCUAGUAUGUGUGGUCAAGGGUUCAUGGCUGUGAGCUGUAGGGGAAUGUUGUUCUUGGGCUCCGCCGGUGACCCUGGAGAGCUGGGGGCUGAUCGGGAUUCGACUGUCUGUCGAGGAAGUCUCCCAUAGUUGUACUUUAGUGGGGAGCAAGGUGGUUCCGAAGUACGCCCGGUCUGGGCUGACUCCUGGCUGAGUUGCUGAGUCUGUAAGAUCUUGGGUGAGAACUUGGGUUUAGAUCUUUCCUGGGGCAAGUGCCCUUUAUCUUCAUCACUUUCAGAUCCGGCAUCCAAAAUCUGAAAGAAGGAACGUGGCAUGGGCGUCUCGUCCUGAUCUGACAACUCACUUUGAUCAUUGUCAUCCAUCUCUUGACCCUCGACAUCCUCAAAAUCUCACUCUGUAAUCCCUGUGCUCCUUUGAGGCUGAACGGUGGUCGGAGCAACCCGAGGGGCUUGAAGGGGUUCUGAGGCUGCAAGACUCCCUGGGCUCAACAUGACCCUUUGAUUAUUGUUGCUUAUAGCUGAGGCUAAUUGCUGAAGCUUCUCACGUUUUGUGGCGAGAAUGAUUUCAGCUUGUUGGUUUCCAGUCUCAUGUUUCUUCUUGUGAAAAUCAAGCAAAAUCUGGGCUUCAGCGUGGUCUAAACCUAAUUGAUAGAUUUCUUGCUCCUCAACGUGCUCUUGCAACCUACAUCAGCUCCACUAGCUACUUGUAGUAGUUGAUGGUACUGCUCACCCACUGGGAUGCCUGCCAAGGUUCCACCAGGUGCUGUUGCUACUCCCAGGGCAAUUGCAGACAACUGCAGAAAUAAUCCUUCUAAGUUAUUUACCCCUGACAAGUUCAUUCUCUGAGCAAAUGGUGCAUAUUCGUGGUGGCGAGCCAAACCUUUCAGAGCAAGCCUAAAGCUCUCAACCUCAUCUCACACUUUUACAGUCUGAACUAGAGGGUGAAGUAAGAUGUGAUCCUCUUCCUUACCGAGGAUAUGGUCUAAAACAUUUUUAACAAUCAAGAGCCCAGAGAAUCUUGCCUGAGAAACAGUGUUUGUUAUAAUAAUGUCAUCGGCAUCGUGCCCAGCCUCUAAACUGAUCCCUUGAUGAAUAAAUAGAAAUGUAAAUGUAAAACUCACUCUCACGAUCCCAAAAACAGUUAUCAUACAUCCUGGAGUCUGCCAGCUCUGUGGGUAUUGUGUGACCCCUUGCUCUGCAUGGAUCACAAUUUGCCUCUGUACUUUCUCAAGGCAGGCCCUGUCCCUGACCACAAGUUUGGGAAGGCAAAGACUGCAAAAGGAAAGAUAUUGCCCAACUCAUCAAAGCUCUCCAAGAUUAUUCAUCAGUGCUACUAAAGCUUACCUUGUCCCUCGGCUGGGGCCUGUUAAUGCAAAGAACUCACUGAGAUUACUAUUUUUAUUAUCCAACACCUUCAGCAUUAGCCCAUGAGCCUCCAAGUAUCAGUGGGCUGCACUUGUCUCGAAUGCCUUCUGCUUUCCCUCAGAAGUGUGUCGGAUACAUAGUGUCAUAAGACAACUAUCCAGCAAGUGUAGAUCUAUCCCCACCUCUAUGGCAUGGAUGAUUUUCGAGCAAAGUUUCGUUCCGUUCCGGGACACCCAUCGAGUAUAUUUCUCUAUUCCAAACUCGACAGGUUGGGUGCCAUAGUUCAAAAUUCCAUGCAAUUCCACAUCAUUUGGAAUGUUAGUGUACCAUUGAGAGGGGUUGUUGGUUGAAACUUUGACAUUUUGGAUGGGUAAUGGCUAGGCUAGAUGGGCAGCAAAGGGUAUUGCUAAGACAAGUUGAUGCAAAAGUCAAUGUCAAUGUUUAAAUGUUUAAAUGUUUAAAUCAUGAAGGAUUUAAUUUUCCUCCAGAAAUGUACUCCUUAACUGAGCAUGCUUAGUACUGGACCACCCCUUACAUGAAUAUGUAUAGGCUCUCUGAAUAAAAUUCCCAUGCUGUCUUUG